GUAGAGCGGGAGCGUGCUUUGCGGGAGCCGAAGGGACGCUCCGGGGUAUCUACGAGUGUGGAGCUGUUCGGGGACCCGUUCUUGAACCUCGCUCUGCGCGCCCUGUGCUUGCUUUCCCCCUCCAACCUGUCCCGGCGGCUCGGGGAUGGGCUGCCGGAGCGCUUCUCCGUGCCGCGCAGCGCCGCGACCGUCCCGCUGCCAGCCGCGCUGCGAGCUGCUGCUGCCGGAUGCGCUCGUUGCGCGCUCCCUGGGUGUCACCUCCGAGCCCCGCCGGAGCUCCGAGCGAUCCCGGACCGAGAGAAAGCUCUUACGAGAGCAAAGCUGAGCGCUUCCCUCAGAGCAUCACUAACCUCAGCGCAUCCCGAGGUGCAGAGUAUUGCCUCCUACAGAGUGGCCAGCGCUAUGGAAGGAACCGAGGGGAAGCAGGAGGAACCUCCGUGCACUUACUCUAAGCCACACAGUCGCAUCCCGGUGGCAGUGUGUUUGAAAAUGUAACGUGAUACAUCGCCUCCCUUGCUCUCAUUCUGCCUUCCUCUUUAGCUGUACCUCACUGUACUUAAGAGAAUGGUUUUGCUACCAGCCCUCCUCCCCCAUCUCCAUGUUUUCAGCUCUUCCUCUUGCUUGCUCUCUUGCUGACAGCUCCAUACCUUUCCAUUUCCUCACACACAUCACACCAGUCAAUCUCUGGCCAUUCCUGGCACCGCUCUCUGCCUCUGGCCACCUCCCAGAUGUCCACACAGUGUUGGCAUCCAUACCGUCCUGUAUUACUGCCAUGUCCUGGCCCCAGGUCACCUCUGUCAUCCCACUGCCACCUUGGCCUGCCCUGACUUUCCACUAGCCAUUGCUCAUGCUCUGGAAAUGGAGUCACCUCCAACCUGUCUGGUACCAGGACUUGCAUACCUGCCAUCAUGGUCACACAUGCCCACACUAUAUUUAAUCACAUACAAAGUAUAAGCAGUACCUGUUGGACUUGGCCAGGGUUUUUGCCGUGGGCUUCCCCAUCACCAGUUUGUGCUUCUCUCCUACCAUAGGCAAGGCCAAAGAUUUUGGUGCUCGCCUCUGUUGCACACUGUUUAACAUUCUUUGCCCUGGCACAUCCUUUAGCCGCAUAACGAUACUGACAUGCUUUGUUGUCACCUGUAUUUCCACCCCAGAGGAUCACCCUUCAGCUUGGCAAUAUGGGGAGUCCUCCAAAAAAGGUAGGUGGAAGGACAUCAGUCAGCCAGCCAGUCAACCAUUGAGGCGCCUCAAUGCUGCACUCAGGAGUUCCUGUCCUCCAAAAUACACCUCUUCUUUCCCAACAUUCUGAUACCUCGGCCUGAUAAGCACUUCGUGUAUGAAACCUUAACAUCACAGUCUGCUGUUGGGCAUGCAUACACUACAUCCAGUGCUGGAGCAAGACUAGAAGGAUAGAGCUCAGGUGUUUUGGAACCAUCCCACAGGCAGCCCCUGGCGGGCUUCCAGCAUGCUCUUCCUUUAAGCGUGCCUCUGGAGAAGACUGCUGAUCCAUCGUUAAUCGUAUUGAGUAAGUACCUAAAAUUAACUUUUAAAUUAUUAAUGCAUGAGAGCAUAUCCGUUUGCCAUGCACAUUAUUUUAAAGGAUUACAGUGUGUACACUGAGUGCCAUUAGCGUUACGUUCUGAAGACAGCAAAUUGACUUGUAUGGAAAUCUGAAGAGUUGAUGGAUUCCUCCACCAAUACUUAUGACAAUGAUAAAACGUUAUGUUCAAUUGAGUUAUUAUUAAGCAUGUGUCUGUAUUUUAAUUUCUUUCUGAUACACACAAACCAAGAGACCGCGAAGCCGUCAUCAUACAAAAUUUUUCAUUUUGUGGUGGGUUAAAAAUACAGAGAUAUGUGAGCAUUGAAAAUGUUCCUCUGACAAACAACAACACUAGGAAAGAUAUGUUUAGUUUCCUAGACUACAGCUGUGUCAUUCAAGACAAAACCAUGCUGCCAUAAAAUUGUUUAUCAAAAAUAGCACUGUUAAACCUGUUAAAUGUCGAAGUCGCAAUACAUCCUUUCAAUGGCCACAAAGGACAUACCUAUGGCAGUUGUCUUCUUUUCACUUAACUAACAAUUUUUUGAAAAAUCCUACAGAACGCCAUACUGUGAAAAUAAGGACCUGAAAAACCAACAUUUUCUCUAAGAAUCGUGAUUUUCUGCAAGAAAUAAUGAUGCCAGUAAUGUUCUGCGACUGUGCAAACAUUGUUUCUACUCCAGUCAAAAAAGUAAGCAGAAAUGUUAGUGCAGAUGCCGUGGUGCCUUCUGUGCGUGGGAACUUUUGUAGAUUCAUAGAAUGCCUUGAGUUGGAAGAGACCCGUAAAGAUCACUGAGUUCAACUCCUGCCUCCACACAGCACCACCCAAAAAUCAGACCACAUGACUGAAAGCAUUUCCAGAUGCUUCUUAAACUCCAGCAGCUUGCUGCCAUGGCCAUUGCCUUGGGUAGCCUGAUCCAGUGGUUGAUCAGCUUCUGGUGAAGAACCAUUUCCUGACCAAAACCCAACCUUACCCUACCCUGUUUCAGCUUUCUGAUAUUCUCUCAAGUUCUACCGCUGGUCACCAGAGCGAGGAGAUCGGUGCCAGAUGAGUUUGUCCCAUUUUACUGUCUUUUCCUGUGCGGUAAGUAAGGCGGUGGGCAGAGACGUCUGAAUGUUCAGGCUACAUGGAGGAUGCAACAAUAUUCUGGAGACCCCUUGCCCCACUCAGCAAGCGAGAGCAGAAGGGGAUGGGGCUGAAGGCCCCUGGAGGCUGAAGAAGGCCUGGGUGUUGCGUGGCUGCUUGGUGCAGAGCCUGCACUAUGGCCAGGCUGAGCUUCUUAAUGUGUUCUACUACUUGUUACUCUUGAAACAUCAGGAAAGAAUGGGAAAGGUCCUCUCUGCCAUUUUUACUUGUUGGAAUACUGACAUUAAGUUUCUCAUGUGUUAAGGCUUUGGAAACAUGUCCAAAACACAAGCCAAAUACUGGCUUUCUCUAUCUACACAUAUUUAGGACCCAAGACCUAAUGAUAAAUGCAGUUAAAGUUCAAGUACAGUGGACUUAGUUUGCUUUGUGCUGAGACUUAAACUCUGCAGGGUGACUUUUCUUCCUGGAACUUUUCCAAAGGACACUAAGCUUUGCAAUUCAGCUAGCUCCACUAGAGAAAGAGGUCAUUUUAACUUAUUAAAUUGAAUGAAAAAAAUUCUCUAACAAUGUUUUCUUUAGAAAUAGCCUCAGAUUUCAAGCAUAAUCCAAGAAUGAGCAUAAUUUUCUUUUCUAUCACAUUGAUUUAGGAAAUGAAAAUCCAAUAGUGUAAGAUCUGAAGAAGAGAGAUCAGAAUCCGGCCACCGCUUUCAUUCUCAAAGGCACUUUCAUGAAAGCGUUAUAUGAAAGUCAGCACUGAGCAUCAUCUUUAACUAGUAUCAGUGCAUUCAUAAAAGCCUUCAGCAAUCAAAAGAAGGAUCAACAUGGUCAUUACUACCUGAUUAACAACAGGAAAAUAAGAGCUACGGCAGAAACAUAACUGAAUAAACUCACUGUGUUCAUAGGCUGCAUUAUGGAGAUCUACUUUUUGUUGCUAGUUUUGCCACCGAGGAGGAGAGAACACAACGAGUGCUGUGACUCAGAAUGAAAUCCAGCCACACUGAAGUCAGUGGCACAGCUCUUGGUGAGCUUAGCACGACCAUGAUUUCAUCUCAAGUCUUUUCUUGGUUCCUGGAGGGGAAAUAAGAAUAAAGACAAAAAAUAAAAAUAAAAACUUCACCGCCAUAACUUGUCCUGCAUGCUGAAGCUAUUAGGAGCAUAUUUUCACCAUUCCCAUAGCAGGGUCUUCUAGCUAGUGCCAUCUGAGAACCAGAAACGUUAAGAAAUGUAAACAGGAAGGAAUUACAAAUAGGUAGAUUUUACCAUGCUAAGAGAAGGGACACAGCAAUCCAGCUGUACUGGACCCACACCAGAUCCUCCCUCGGUUUGUACACCAAGCUGUGUGCACAUUGGAACACCCUCCGAAUUGAAAAGUGUCUGUACUGCACACCCCACAGUGCUGGAUGCCUUUUGCUGAUGUGUACGGACUGCAAAGCUGAGGCUCAGCCUGCUUCUCCCUGGGUCCUGUAGGCACCGCCAGGCUGUGCAGCAGCCAGCUCCCAUCGCACCCCAUGCUCCGGUGCAAGCCCAUGCACAGAUUUGAAAGCAUUUCCAUCAUGUGGAUCUAAAUGAGCAAAACUCAGACACCCGACUGUCAAUUCAAGUCACUGCUCUCUGUGGGAACAUCAAACCUUGCACAGUGCCCACUGUUGUGUGCUUUGUGAAUGAGCAGUAAAUGGAUUCAUCUUGCUGUGACAGGUGGGUCUGUGAACUACUUCUCUUAAGCUGACCCACAAGGAGAGAGCAGAGUCAGCUAGACAAGGCGCUCCCCUAGGGAAUGUCAGUGUCUGCUCACAUCCCUGAUCAAUCUACCAGGCUGCCUAGCACACAGCAUUGUAUGCCUCUUUUGUAAAGAACUGGAAGGUACUUCAAUGUACACGUUAGAAACAUACAGAAAUAACAUCUCUUACUUAUAUCUGAUAGAAAACUGAGAGUUACGGAAUAGAAAUCUUUGUAUUCUUCUCUCUUGAAUUUUCAAGGACACCUAUAAUUUCAGGGUUGCAACACAUACUUAAGUCAAGAGGAAUUUCCUAACUGAACUUUCAAAUUCGUGACAUCUUGUAUUUAGACUGCAGUUCCAAAGGAAGUCACAUUUUGCU